AAAUACGAAGGUGAGGGAGAGAGAGAGAGAGAGCACUGCUCAUCUAUACUGAACAAAUACGAAGAUAACGUGAAGGCCUAUUUCAAGCGUGGGAAGGCCCACGCUGCCGUGUGGAAUGUCAGGGAGGCGCAGGCGGAUUUCACCAAAGUGACGGAGCUGGACCCCAGCCUGAGCAACACUGUGAACAGAGAGAGGAGAGCGCUGGAGCAGAGACUGAGAGACAAGGACCAGGAGGAGAGAGAGAGAUACAGGGGCAUCUUCAUAUAGAGAGGAGAGA